ACAAGAUGUCCUUCUGAGGAGAGGCUGAGCCACCGUAAUGCACUGAUGACUACAGCGUUGGUGGGACAAGGGAAGACUCUGCCAUCACCCUCUUGGAAGCCAAAGACACAGCCUCAUCCCCAUAAUGUCAGACACCUAUUCCGACACGCUUCCCAAACUCAUUUGGUAGCUGAAUU